CAUAUACUCAGUGGCAGAGCAUUUGACUGCAGAUCAAGAGGUCUCCGGCUCGAACCCGGAUG
rnacentral:tRNA from 1 species